GACGAACGCUGGCGGCGUGCUUAACACAUGCAAGUCGAACGAAGUGGCGAACGGGUGAGUAACGCGUAAUCAACCUGCACUUCAGAGGGGGACAACAGUUGGAAACGACUGCUAAUACCGCAUACUGAAGGAGGGGAUUGCUUCUGAUUAGGUAGUUGGGGGGGUAACGGCCAACCAAGGGGAUGAUAAGUAGCCGGUCGUGGAGGGUGAACGGCCCCAGUGGUACUGAGACACGGCCCAGACUCCUACGGGAGGCAGCAGGGGGGAAUCUUCCGAAAUGGACGAAAGUCUGACGGAGCAACGCCGCGGGAGUUGUGACGGCCUUCGGGUUGUAAAGCUCUGUUAAUCGGGACGCGGUACCGGAAUAGAAAGCCACGGCUAACUACGUGCCAGCCGCCGCGGUAAUAC
rnacentral:rRNA from 1 species